CCUACGUGGGGCAGCAGUGAGGAAUAGUGGUCAAUGGGCGCUAGCCUGAACCAGCCAAGUAGCGUGAAGGAUGACUGCCCUAUGGGGUGUAAACUUCUUUGAUAGGGGAAUAAAGUGCAGUAUGUAUACAGCUUUGCAUGUACCGUAUGAAUAAGGAUAGGCUAACGCCGUGCCAGCAGCCGCGGUAAUACGGAGGAUCCGAGCGUUAUCCGGAUUUAUUGGGUGUACAGGGAGCGUAGGCGGGUUUUUAAGGCAGUUGUGAACGUUUGAGGCUCCACCGUAAAAUUGCAGUUGUUACUGGCAUCCUUGAGUCCAGUAGAGGUAGGCGGACUUCGUUGUGUAGCGGU
rnacentral:rRNA from 1 species